rnacentral:rRNA from 1 species
UACAGAGGUCUCAAGCGUUUGUUCGGAUUCAUUGGGCGUAAAGGGUGCGUAGGCGGCGCGGUAAGUCGGGUGUGAAAUCUUGGAGCUUAACUCCGAAACUGCAUUCGAUACUGCCGUGCUUGAGGACUGGAGAGGAGACUGGAAUUUACGGUGUAGCGGUGAAAUGCGUAGAUAUCGUAAGGAAGACCAGUGGCGAAGGCGGGUCUCUGGACAGGUUCCUGACGCUGAGGACGAAGGCCAGGGGAGCAAACGGGG